rnacentral:lncRNA from 1 species
AUGUUUGUCUUGCUCCCCAACCCACAUUACAAGUCUAGCAUGCCUUACCCAGCCCUCAGCUCGUAUCUGGAAUGCCCAUGAGCGCUCAGUAUGACUCUGACAUGCCCUUCCCGGCCUUCAGCUCAUAUACUGAUUGCUCCAAUACCCUCAAGCCCUCUGUACGAUUCUGGCGUACUACUCAGUCCUCAGCUCGUAUCUGGAAUGCUAAUGUGCCCUCAGUAUGAGUCUGGCAUGCCCUCCCUGGCCCUGUGCUCAUAUUUGGAAUGCUAAUGUGCCCUCAGUAUGACUCUCAUCAGCUAAGGACAGUAAGACGGCAGGCUGAACUUAGUCAUAUUGCUAGGUGAAGUCAGAUUCAAACAUGUCUCUUGGUCGGUUUUGAGCAUCUUGUCAAUGUUAUUGCCAAAAGUAUAGACAAAUAAAUUUAUCAUAGCAGCCAUGCCAUCUGACCACAUCCUGUCACUGAUCUUUGAUGAUGGGGAAUUCGAUAAACAAAUACUAUCAUCUUCAUGGUGCUGCAGGAAAAGCGCAACAUUUAAAAGAAUACCAAUCCCAGAAAUGUACAGCUAGAUUGUACCGAUUACAAAGUCUUUUGAAGUUGACGAAUCACAUAAGGACAUUUACCUUGCCAAUAAAAUUUAUAUAUGUCUCUUUAUUUUUUUGACACAACUAUGGACUGAAGUAUUUAUCGGAUUCUGUAAACCUAUUCAAUUUGAUGAUUAAAUUUAGUGUUUUGGUGGAGUGAAGGGCCUGAUGCACCAUGGUGAAAUAGAUCCCACUGUAGGAACAAUGUGUGCAAUUACUUGAGUGACAAAUAAAUGUUCAUUUUCCAUUCCUUUUCCGUCCAAAUUGAUUAAUUAUANACAUGUCUCUUGUUCGGUUUUGAGCAUCUUGUCAAUGUUAUUGCCAAAAGUAUAGACAAAUAAAUUUAUCAUAGCAGCCAUGCCAUCUGACCACAACCUCUCACUGAUCUUUGAUGAUGGGGAAUUCGAUAAACAAAUACUAUCAUCUUCAUGGUGCUGCAGGAAAAGCGCAGCAUUAAAAGAAUACCAAUCCCAGACAUGUACAGCUAGAUUGUACCGAGUACAAAGUCUUUUGAAGUUGACGAAUCACAUAAGGACAUUUACCUUGCCAAUAACAUUUAUAUAUGUCUCUUGAUUUUUUUGACACAACUGUGGACUGAAGUAUUUAUCGGAUUCUGUAAACCUAUUCAAUUUGAUGAUUAAAUUUAGUGUAUUGGUGGAGUGAAGGGCCUGAUGCACCAUGGUGAAAUAGAUCCCACUGCAGGAACAAUGUGUGCAAUUACUUGAGUGACAAAUAAAUGUUCAUUUUCCAUUCCUUUUCCUUCCAAAUUGAUUAAUUAUAGAAAAGGGUGAUAUUUGUUCAUGAUUUGUUUUCAGCUUAUAAAUUGAAAACCUUUAAUUUAUGGAUCCUGGUUCGUGACAUUAAUUGCUACCAGCAACAUUUCGUAUACAAAAAUCAAGCACAUUCUGUAAUCAAUAUUUUAAUGAAAUACAUGUAUAAAUGACCAUACUAUAUAUAUAACCCUGAAAACAAAUAAAUAAUCAUCCAAACUUCAUCAGCAUUCUACAGAGAUCUAGGUACUAAAAGUAGCAGUUGUAAGAUGAAUCAAUAGACAUCUAGCUUUGCAAAAAGCAUUACUUUAUGGAUGGGUAACGGAAGGGAUAGGAAAAUCCUUAGGCAACUCUGGCAAUGUGGGCUUCGGAAUGACGGGAAACGUGGGCUUUGGAAACUCAGGAACCACAGCAGGCUUUGGAACUACAGGAACAUCAGGUUUUGGAACCUCAGGUAGCUCAGGCUUUGGAAGCACGGGAAGCUCAGGCUUUGGAAGAACAGGAAUCUCAGGCUUUGGAACCACGGGAACCUCAGGCUUAAGCACCACGGGAAGCUCAUGCUUAGGAACGACCGGAAGCUCAGGCUUUGGAAGCUUAGGUUUAGGAAGUACGGGAAUCUCAGGCUUAGGAACGACCGGAAGCUCUAGCUUUGGAAGCUCGGGUUUAGGAAGUACGGGAAUCUCAGGCUUAGGAAUGACAGGAAGCUCAGGCUUAGGAAGCACCGGAAGCUCAGGCUUUGGAAACACAGGAAGCUCAGGCUUUGGAAACACGGGAAGCUCAGGCUUAGGAACCACGGGAAGCUCAGGGAUCUCUGCAAGUUUACGUGCCUCAGCAAUGAUUUUCCCGCUAAAUGAUGCUAAGCUGAUAGAAAAAAGAAUCAGGAUUACGAAUUUUAGGUGAGAACUUCCCUUGGUGUUGCAAAAGGUAGAUAUUAGAAACUAACAAGUUAAUUUGAGAUGGCUUGAAAUGGUACAUGUGUUCAUUUGGAUUUAUAUAGCGGACGUGGGAUGUUGGGAAUAGUGUGAAGUAUGUCAGUUGGUAGGAAUUUCUUAGAUUUGGGAGAGUUAGCUCAACUUCUCAUCUGUACAUAAGAGUUGAGCUGUCUUAAUUAAGAAAUGAAAAUAUGGGGAUGAGUCUAGCAUGCCUUAACCAGCCCUCAGCUCGUAUCUGGAAUGCCCAUGAGCGCUCAGUAUGAGUCUGACAUGCCCUUCCCGGCCUUCAGCUCAUAUAUGGAUUGCUCCAAUACCCUCAAGCCCUCUGUACGAUUCUGGCGUACUACUCGGUCCNUCCAUGAAUAGCCUCUAGCUGCAGAUCUGCUAGAAGAUACCAAAAUGACAAUCAUUAGAAUCUAGCCACUAACCCAUAUAAUGAGUAUAAGAAACAGGGUAAAAGACCUUUUUACCCUUCCUCAAACUUAGCCCAAAGCGAAGGACCAAACCAGAUGACAAAAGGUCCAAUAUCAAAAUAAANUGGCAUGCCCUCCCUGGCCCUGAGCUCAUAUUUGGAAUGCUAAUGUGCCCUCAGUAUGAGUCUGACAUUCCCUUCCUGGCCCUCAAGUCAUAUAUGGUAUGCUAAUGAGUCCUCAGUAUGAGUAUGGCAUGCCAUCCCUAGCCCUCAGCUCAUAUCUCGAAUACUCCAGGGUUUGUUGGCUACAACACAAAGAAGUACACCCUCAACCCAACCCACACAAUAUGUGAAACAUAUAACAGAUAAUAUCCUAUACAGAUAAUCAGACAAUAUCACAGGCAGUCCUACAGAUCUACCAGACUAUCAUAUCCAUAACUAGCAUACUCAUGCAUAUCUAUUCUGUACUCGGCAUAUCAAGAAUCUCAGGAUAUCAACCAAAGGGACAACAUUGGUUCCUUCGUCCCUGUUAGUACAAUAAGGAAAACUCACCUCUUUUUACCGAAACACACAGACGAUCCCUAACUGCUGACUGCCAGAUCCCAAACCAUCAUCAUCAAGACAACACUCUAACAAUAGCUGAGUCCAUGUAUAGCCUCUAGCUGCAGAUCUGCUAGAAGAUACCAAAAUGACAAUCAUUAGCAUUUAGCCACUAACCCAUAUAAUGAGUAUAAUAAACAGGUAAAAGACCUUUUUACCCUUCCUCAAACUUGGCCCAAAGAGAACGACCAAACCAGAUGACAAAAGGUCCAAUAUCAAAAGAAACUCUUAGCCCAAUUGUGGCCCAAUUUUCCAAAUUGGGCCUAGUUCCAUUCACUCAAGAAGAUCUAUCAAGCUAAAAUCCCAAACCAUAAAACCCCAUAUGAUCCAUCACAACCCCAUGUAGGCCAAACCUAAAUCUUGAUCCAAAAAGGCUCAAAUUACCUCAAGGCNACUUGGCCAAUUUUUCCAAAUUGGGCCCAACUCCUUAUUGGGCCUUGUCCAAAGGUGCGAUCCUCUACUUAGCCCUAAAACACACUUAUCUACUCAUUCCAUUAGGGCCCAAGUAUCAAAGCCCAAAAGAUGGCCCAAUACCCGAAGCCCAAAAUCUGAAAUCCAAUCAGGGGACCUACGGGGGGCGUACCCCUUCGGUAUGCUGGGCGUACCUUGCCUUGCAUUGACCCAUUACGGGGGAUUGACUCCGAACGUGGGGCGUACAGAAGCUUACGCGGGGUGUACUCGUGCAAAACUUAAACCUUCUAUAAGUGCUUAAUGGAUUAAUCACUUGAGCUCAAACUUUAGAUCGACUACUCAAAUGUGCUGUAGAACCAUAAAGUCUCAAACUUUAAGACUUUGGUCGACCAGAAAAUGCUUAAUACAUGUUCUUAACCCAUUAAGACCUCCUACAAUGAACUAAGGCCCAAACUAGCUCAAGGGACCUCAUUUUUAUGCCUUAGGACGCAUCCUAAGUUCUGAAAGGACAACUUAACUCGACCAAAGAAAAGCAUGCACAAUAUUGGGACUCUUGGGAGAAGAAGGAUACCAAAAACUGGCCAAAACAAGAUCUACAUAAUUCAAGCAUAAAGGUAGAAGCUUUAUACCUUCUAAAGCUGCCCGAGAUGGUGACAACCUCAGAUCUACAAGCUUGAUUCCUUCCUUGACUCCUUGAUGCUUUUUCUUCUCAUUCAAUCACAUCACCAACACACUUUAGGCUCUAAAACUCUCUCUUAUGGACUAGGGUUUGCUAAAAAUGGAUCAAAGGCUUGGACGAUGGAAAAGAUGAGAGGAAAUGGUCCAUAAGGUUCUUAAGUACUCCACAAACCCUAAAAGUUAAGGUUUAACUCUGGCACUCGUACGCCCAGCAUACAGAUGUGUACGCCCAGUGUACUAGGGCACGCCCUACUACGCUUAGCGUACUCACAUGUACACCCAGCGUACUACUCAAGUUUCCAAAAUCACAAUUUUGCCACUUCUUUCCAAAACAAGGGCCAAACAUGACAUAAUUCAAUCUCCGAGGGAUGAAUUUGAAGUUAUUGAAAGAUGGGGUGCUACAAAAAUGUGCAAUUUAAGAAAGUGUUCGAAACGGAACCGGACCAGACACCGAAAAAACAGAAGUGGAAUAAGUCAUAAACUAAGAGCAGAGAACCCGACCGAUUACCACUAACCAGUUCCAACAGGUUCGUAUCUCGUUCCGAAUUGUUUUUUCGGUUAAAAAACCCAUCCCUAGGUGAUCCCUAGGUGACUCCACAAUACCAAAAUCUAUUAUUAUGCGUUGUGAUUGGUUUCAUGUAUGGAUAUUAAUCACCACAAUGCGUAAAGUGGUUAGAUACCCUUUGAGUGGGCAUGUGCAAUGGCCCACAAGUCAACUAUUAUGUUAUUAUGUUGGUAAGGUUGUACAUGGUGGGUUGUGUACUACCCACGAAGCCAUGUAUGACUGAUACCAUGUUAUGUAGGGAGAAUUAUAUAACCGAUACGAUGUUAUGUGGACGUACAAACCUUGUAGUAUAUUGUCGGAUGGACAUGGAAAUUGGGUUUAGGAUCAUAGGCAUUGCAUUUCUACUAAUGUUGUGAAACUAAUAUGUUGAUAUGUUUUCAGAAUUCAAUGAUAUUAUAUGAACCCGCUUUAAGGGUAUUGGGAUGUUUUAUUGAUUUAAAGUAUUUUGGAGGUUCAACUGCAAGUAUAGACGACUGUCAUUAUCCUUUACUCUUGAAGAGUUGCACUCGGGUAUUCUCACGAGACAUUCUCACGCCUUAUGCUAUAUUUUGACGUGUUAGAGAUGAAGAAGGAUGCUUGGUUAUUUAGAAGAUGAGAUAGAUGUAAUAUCGUACUUGUAGUUAUGUUUUGAGAUCCAUUGUAAUAUCCUCGCUAUGCUUUAAACUAAAUUUGAAUUCGCACCAAAUGCAUAUCCGCACAUGUUUUAGCAACAUAAGCUCUCAUUUUUGGAUGAAAACUAUAUUUUAAUACCAUUUUAAAAAUCACCAUAUGCGAGUGAUGUUUUACCUACUCUUGGCCAUCCAUAGUGUUUCCAUAAGGUUUGCGGCAACUUGGAGUAACACGUCAAAAUGGUCCUUCAAGAACAUUACCUUCUUCAUUCGUAGAGAGAAUAACUGUUGCUUCAAUAGUAAUUUGUUCGUUCAGAAGUUUGACUUGUACAGACUCUCAAGUGUCAACCAUAGAGACAUUUUCUUCUUCUGCGACUUCAUAAAUCAUCUCAUCAGCUAAGGACAGUAAGACGGCAGGCUGAACUUAGUCAUAUUGCUAGGUGAAGUCUGAUUCAAACAUGUCUCUUGGUCGGUUUUGAGCAUCUUGUCAAUGUUAUUGCCAAAAGUAUAGACAAAUAAAUUUAUCAUAGCAGCCAUGCCAUCUGACCACAACCUCUCACUGAUCUUUGAUGAUGGGGAAUUCGAUAAACAAAUACUAUCAUCUUCAUGGUGCUGCAGGAAAAGCGCAGCAUUUAAAAGAAUACCAAUCCCAGACAUGUACAGCUAGAUUGUACCGAGUACAAAGUCUUUUGAAGUUGACGAAUCACAUAAGGACAUUUACCUUGCCAAUAACAUUUAUAUAUGUCUCUUGAUUUUUUUGACACAACUGUGGACUGAAGUAUUUAUCGGAUUCUGUAAACCUAUUCAAUUUGAUGAUUAAAUUUAGUGUAUUGGUGGAGUGAAGGGCCUGAUGCACCAUGGUGAAAUAGAUCCCACUGCAGGAACAAUGUGUGCAAUUACUUGAGUGACAAAUAAAUGUUCAUUUUCCAUUCCUUUUCCUUCCAAAUUGAUUAAUCAUAGAAAAGGGUGAUAUUUGUUCAUGAUUUGUUUUCAGCUUAUAAAUUGAAAACCUUUAAUUUAUGGAUCCUGGUUCGUGACAUUAAUUGCUACCAGCAACAUUUCGUAUACAAAAAUCAAGCACAUUCUGUAAUCAAUAUUUUAAUGAAAUACAUGUAUAAAUGACCAUACUAUAUAUAUAACCCUGAAAACAAAUAAAUAAUCAUCCAAACUUCAUCAGCAUUCCACAGAGAUCUAGGUACUAAAAGUAGCAGUUGUAAGGUGAAUCAAUAGACAUCUAGCUUUGCAAAAAGCAUUACUUUAUGGAUGGGUAACGGAAGGGAUAGGAAAAUCCUUAGGCAACUCUGGCAAUGUGGGCUUCGGAAUGACGGGAAACGUGAGCUUUGGAAACUCAGGAACCUCAACAGGCUUUGGAACUACAGGAACAUCAGGUUAUGGAACCUCAGGUAGCUCAGGCUUUGGAAGCACGUGAAGCUCAGGCUUUGGAAGAACCGGAAUCUCAGGCUUUGGAACCACGGGAACCUCAGGCUUAAGCACCACGGGAAGCUCAUGCUUAGGAACGACCGGAAGCUCAGGCUUUGGAAGCUCAGGUUUAGGAAGUACGGGAAUCUCAGGCUUAGGAACGACCGGAAGCUCAGGCUUUGGAAGCUCAGGUUUAGGAAGUACGGGAAUCUCAGGCUUAGGAAUGACAGGAAGCUCAGGCUUAGGAAGCACCGGAAGCUCAGGCUUUGGAAACACAGGAAGCUCAGGCUUUGGAAACACGGGAAGCUCAGGCUUAGGAACCAUGGGAAGCUCAGGGAUCUCUGCAAGUUUACGUGCCUCAGCAAUGAUAUUCCCGCUAAAUGAUGCUAAGCUGACAGAAAAAAGAAUCAGGAUUAUGAAAUUUUGGUGAGAACGUCCCAUGGUGUUGCAAAAGGUAGAUAUUAGAAACUAACAAGUUAAUUCGAGAUGGCUUGAAAUGGUACAUGUGUUCAUUUGGAUUUAUAUAGUGGACGUGUGAUGUUGGGAAUAGUGUGAAGUACGUGAGUUGGAAGGAAUUUCUUAGAUUUGGGAGAGUUAGCUCAACUUCUCAUCUGUACAUAAGAGUUGAGCUGUCUUAAUUAAGAUAUGAAAAUGUGGGGAUGAGACUUGGCGACUUUCCUUAGGAGGGUUUAAUAGAAAGCAUAUUUGUUUAUUUAUUUGACAAAUGAAACAUAGUAGGUUCUUCAUAAUGCAAAAAGUUGUAGGUUAUAAAUUUUAGUUAUUGAUAGUAAAAGUCGAAAAUAUAAACAGAAUUUAUGUAAUUCGAUGAAAUAAAUUAUUUCCUUAUUAUUUGGUUGGAAGAUAAGAAUUCAAAGAUCCACCUUAACUUAAUUUCCUAGUGCACAUUAUUGACCAAUCCAAAACAAUUAAAUUUUGGGCCGGUGCACAAGAAAAUAUAUCUAGCACCAAUAUGAAUAUUUAGGAAAGCAAGUAAAAUAAUUUUUUUCCAAACCGAAAUUUCACCAAUUAAAACAUAAAAUUCAAGCUUGAACUGACUUUACAUUCGUUAGAAAUUCAAUUUUUUUUCUAUGAACUAGAACUAACGAGGAGCUUGAUUUUCAAAGUGAUGCACGGCGGUCAAGCAGGCCUAAGAUUAUACCGCCAACCAUUCUGGUGGAUAGAUCUACCAAAUUUGGAGAAGUUCAAGAUUCCAAAGAAAAGAGAAAAACCGCACCUCACUUGCUAAAUUGGCAUUGAUCAUUUACUUACUGAAUUAUUAUUUAUUUUUAUAAGCAUUCGCGUAGUAAAAUAUUCGGUUCUUGCCAACUUUCCAUAAUUAAACAUUUACCUCUUUACGAUUCUAACUAAUCCGGACACUUUCCUUCCCUUUGACAUUAUACACUUAUGUAGGUCACGUAUUUAACACCCCAAAAUUUAAGAGGCAUAUAGGAAUGCCAAGGUACAUGAAAGGGGAACAAGAUAGAAUGUGGCAUACGAACACUUGCAAACAAGAAAUGGUUUUUGGAUGCGAGUUUAAAUCCUUAAAGUAAGGUUGUAAAUAUUAAGCAAAAUGUAAGAAUGCUUAAAAUGUGGGUUUUGGUUAAUACAUGAAACUUAUUAGCGAAAAGAAGAAAAGUGAACAUGUGAAUAAUUACAAGGAAAUGGCAAUGAAAACCAGUUUUGAGUGCACUGUAUAAGUAAUUUAGUUGUUCCUAUAUGCAUCAANAAAAAAAAAAAAAAAAAAAAAAAAAAAAAAAAAAAAAAAAAAAAAAAAAAAAAAAACCCAGCUUUUUGGACUUGAAAUGUAAAAGUUAUGUCAAAUGGAAGUGUUAACGGUUUUUAUGAGAUGUACCACUUGAAAAAAACUACGGAAAACCUUGGUUCGGAAUCAGAAAUCUUGAUGCUCACACAUAAUGUUAAACGAAAAGCAAAUAGAAUGUUAAAAAAUAGGCUUUUGCAACUAAAAUGAAAGCAAUAUUAUGUAUAGAAUGUAGAUACAUGAACAGGUUGAGUACUAAAAUAUAUAUGAAAUGAUACAUGGAACUUUCUUUGGCAAUCGAGUUUAUGUACCUGAUUAAGUAUUACCCUGGUUCCAAUAGGCGGUUAAUACAAUUAGGUACCCAGGUCAAAAAUAAUUAAGGUGUUGAAAUAAGGAAGUUAUGCAUGGUAUAAGAAUGGGUAUCACCAAUAACAAACGGUCUGAGUGAACCCCAAAGCACCUUUUAUAAGUCGAAUAGCUGCCGAGGGAGGGCUCAUACAUACGUAGUAGGUAUAAUGGUAUGUCCAGCUUGAUUCCAUUUUGAUUAAAGCCAUGUUGUUGUGUUUUUCUAAUGGAGAGGAACGGAAAGAAAGGGAAGUUGCCUUUCAUUCCCUUCCCUUUCCCUUACAUUCAUCCCAAAUGGGCUCGAGAGGAAAGAUUUCAUGAAAAAUUAGUCUUUUAUUCCCCUAUCAAUCACUCGUUUCCUUCUCUUUCCUCCUUAAAGCCUAGUUACGGAGUUCAACUUAAGGACUGAAAGGAACGGAUGCUGAACGAAACAGAAAGAAAAGAAAACAAAAAAAGGUUUUCCUUAUUUUUUUAAGGUUUUCCUUAAAUAAAAUGUAAAAAUGCUUAAAACGCGAGUCUUGGUUAAUACAUGAAACUUAUUAGCGAAAUGAAGAAAAGUGAACAUGUAAAUAAUUACUAGGAAAUGGCAACGAAAUCCAGUUUUUAGUGCACUAUAUCAGUAUCUUAGUUGUUCCUAUAUGGAUCCACGACAACUAAGAAUGAAAUGCAAAAGAAUCAACUUUUUGGACUUGAAAUGGAAAAGUUAUGUCGAUUGGAAGUGUUUAGGGUUUUCAUGAGAUGAGCCACUUGAAAACAACUACGGAAUACCAUGGUUUUGGAUGUUCAGAACUAUAGAUGCCCACACAUAUUGUUAAACCAAAAACAAAUUAAAUGUUAAAAAGAAAGCUUUUGGAUAUAAAAUGAAACCAAUAUUAUUUGUCGAAUGUAGAUAGAUGAAUUGGUUGAGAAAUAAAAACUAUAUGAAAUGCUACAUUGAAAUUUCCUUGGCAAUCGAGUAUAUUUACAUGGUUAUGGUAUUAUCCAGGUUCAAUAGGUGGUUAAUACAAUUGGAUACCCAGUUCAAAAAUAAUUGAAAUAUUGAACUAAGAAGUUAUACAUGGAAUAAGAAUUGUUAUCGCCAAGAACAGUUGGUCCGAGUUGACCAAUAGCGAACCCCCAAGUUCCUUUCAUAGAUUGAAUAGCAACCAAGGGAGGACUCACACAGACGUAGUGGGUAUGAUGACAUGUCGAGCUUGACUCCAUUUUGAUUAACGCCAUGUUGUCGAGUUUUUUUUUAUUUUUCAUUAUUUUCAUGGGAGAGGAACAGAAAGAAAGGGAAGUUGCCUUUCCUUCCAUCCGCUUUCCCUUACGUUCAUCCCAAAAAGGACCGAGAGGAAAUAUUUCAUGAAAAAUAGUAUUUUCUUCCCCUGCCAAUCCUCCGUUUUCUUUCAUUUCCUUCCUUAAAGCCUAGUUACCGAGUUCCACUUAAGGAAGGAAAGGAAAGAAAGUUGAAAGAAAUAGAAGGAAAGGAAGAUAAAAAAAGGUGUUCCAUUUUUUUAAGUAGGGAAGAUGACAUGCAUUUGCAUGUCAUAAAAUUAUGACAUGCAUUUUGUGACACAUUUAAAUGCAUGUCAUCUUCCUUUAUAACAUUGUCUAAAAUGACACACAAUUACAACACAUGUUUACAAUAUAUUUUACGACACUUAUUUUGCGUGCCAUAAACUUAAGCAUUUUAAAAAAAAUUAUAUAUUUACUAACUUUCUAAUUGAGUGACAGUGGACCCUAUAGACUUUCAAAUAUUCGAUCCUACCCUAAGCCCUUCAUCAGACAAGAACAGGAAAUAAGGCAAAACAAAAAAUUCUCAGGCUAUAAGAUCAUAGUUAUAUACAACCAUGAUGUAAGCAGUAAUGAUGUCAAUUUUAAAUAAGGAAGAACCUAGGCUAUCAAACAUCAAAUAAUCAGGCAAUUCUAUCAUGAAAUUCCUAGAGAUCCCUAGUCUAUCACCAGCAUGCUGUUUUAACAUAUCAUAACAUAUCAUAAGCUCUGAUAACUAUGUGGUAAUUUGGGGUCUACUUACUGGUUCCGGCCGAUCGUACAUAUCACAUCCUCUUUGAUUAUUUUCAAAACCAUUUGAAAAUUUGUUUUGAAAACCCUUUUUCCUUAGUUUGAGACUGGAUUCACAUGAGUGUUCCUCCGAUUCACUCAAACCAAGGCUAUAAUACAACCUUGUAACAUCCUUAAAAUUUCAGUAAAAUUCAAACUUUACAAAACAAUCCCUUUUCUUUAGAGGUGUUUACAAAACCGUUGUUUGCAGAACAUUUAUUUAAAACCGGAAUCAUUUACACAUAGUUUUCAAAACAUUCACAUUAUCAGGGUUUCCCAGAAACCAUAAGUCCAAAACGCGAGGAUGUGCACGGUCAUGCCUUCGCCUUGCCAAAACAACUGAAGCACCUAAAACAAUAAACUAAAACCGUAAUCACAAAGCUUUGUUAGUUCCCCCAUACAAAUAACAGCAUGCAAUGGGUCCACAGCUAAUAGACUAGAUUACCCAUGAGCCCACAACAAACGUCUGGCUUGCCCCCUGGGCCGACAACUUAUGUCUGUCUUGCUCCCCGACCCACAUUACGAGUCUAGCCUGCCCUACCCAGCCCUCAGCUCAUAUCUAGAAUGCCCAUGAGCGCUCAGUAUGAGUCUGACAUGCCCUUCCCGGCCUUCAGCUCGUAUAUGGAUAUCUCCAAUACCCUCAAGCCCUCAGUACGAUUCUGGCAUACCACUCGGUCUUCAGCUCGUAUCUGGAAUGCUAAUGUGCCCUCAACAAGAGUCUGGCAUGGUCACGCCUUCGCCUUGCCAAAACAUCUAAAGCACCUGAAACAAUAAACUAAAACCGUAAUCACAAAGCUUUGUUAGUUCCCCCAUACAAAUAACAACAUGCAAUGGGUCCACAGCUAAUAGACUAGAUUACCCCUGAGCCCACAACAAGCGUCUGGCUUGCCCCCUAGGCCCACAACUUAUGUCUGUCUUGCUCCCCGAACCACAUUACAAGUCUAGCAUGCCCUACCCAGCCCUCAGCUCGUAUCUGGAAUGCCCAUGAGCGCUCAGUAUGAGUCUGACAUGCCCUUCCCGACCUUCAGCUCAUAUAUGGAUUGCUCCAAUACCAUCAAACCCUCAAUACGAUUCUGGCAUACCACUCGGUCCUCAGCUCAUAUCUGGAAUGCUAAUGUGCCCUCAGUAUGAGUCUGACAUUCCCUUCCUGGCUCUCAGGUCAUAUAUGGAAUGCUAAUGACUCCUCAGUAUGAGUCUGGAAUGCCAUCCCUGGCCCUCAGCUCAUAUCUCGAAUAUUGCAGGGUUUGUUGGCUACAACACAAAGUAGUACACCCUCAACCCAACCCACACAAUAUAUGAAACAUAUAACAGAUAAUAUCCU